AUUGAACGCUGGCGGCAGGCCUAACACAUGCAAGUCGAACGGUAACAGAAAGCAGCUUGCUGCUUUGCUGACGAGUGGCGGACGGGUGAGUAAUGUCUGGGAAACUGCCUGAUGGAGGGGGAUAACUACUGGAAACGGUAGCUAAUACCGCAUAACGUCGCAAGACCAAAGAGGGGGACCUUCGGGCCUCUUGCCAUCGGAUGUGCCCAGAUGGGAUUAGCUAGUAGGUGGGGUAAAGGCUCACCUAGGCGACGAUCCCUAGCUGGUCUGAGAGGAUGACCAGACACACUGGAACUGAGACACGGUCCAGACUCCUACGGGAGGCAGCAGUGGGGAAUAUUGCACAAUGGGCGCAAGCCUGAUGCAGCCAUGCCGCGUGUAUGAAGAAGGCCUUCGGGUUGUAAAGUACUUUCAGCGGGGAGGAAGGGAGUAAAGUUAAUACCUUGGCUCAUUGACGUUACCCGCAGAAGAAGCACCGGCUAACUCCGUG
rnacentral:rRNA from 1 species